UCUCCGUUGGUGAACCAGCGGAGGGAUCAUUACCGAGUUAUUCAACUCCCAAACCCCUGUGAACUUAUACCUUUACUGUUGCUUCGGCGGGUUAACGCCCCGGAAGGCCCGCGAGGGCCGCCGGAACCAGGCGCCCGCCGGGGGACCCAAACUCUUGUAUCUUUUUUAUAGCAUGUCUGAGUGGAAUCAUAAACAAAUGAAUCAAAACUUUCAACAACGGAUCUCUUGGUUCUG
rnacentral:misc_RNA from 1 species